UCCUUCCUGAUGGUGUCCGUCGGGAGGCCGUACAUGUCGACUUCAACGUAUGUGCCGAUUUUCUUAUCUGACAGGAACUGUCCAGAGAACACCUGAAGUGAAAAGAGGGACAUCAGUAUGGAUACUUUUGAAGUUAGGAAUGUCAGAGAGGGUAUUCGAGUUUUCAUACAACGGUAACCUCUGUGUGUAAUAAGACAAAAGCUGUUUACAACACAUAAAAAGGAAGAUAAGGAAGACGAGCUAAGAGCCAUGCUUUGAGUGCCAGAUGACCCGACCUGUACACUACAAGUUGCAGCAAUGACACCAUCCACCGGUGUCUCUGAAAAAGGGUCAAACAUCCUGUCGGACCGCCGCAUAAAGUCGGGCUUCAGCAGGAUGUCUGUGCACAUGGCCUUGCCAUGAGUGAUGAUGGGCUCCUGGUCCUCUCCUUUCCCGUCCCAGCAGUCCAACUCCACACAU